rnacentral:rRNA from 1 species
UCCAGACUCCUACGGGAGGCAGCAGUGGGGGAUAUUGCACAAUGGGGGGAACCCUGAUGCAGCGACGCCGCGUGGGUGAAGGAGCGUUUCGGCGCGUAAAGCCCUAUCGGCAGGGAAGAAGGAGGACGGUACCUGACUAAGAAGCCCCGGCUAACUACGUGCCAGCAGCCGCGGUAAUACGUAGGGGGCAAGCGUUAUCCGGAUUUACUGGGUGUAAAGGGGGCGCAGACGGCAGCGCAAGCCAGGAGUGAAAGCCCGGGGCCCAACCCCGGGACUGCUCUUGGAACUGCGCGGCUGGAGUGCAGGAGGGGCAGGCGGAAUUCCUGGUGUAGCGGUGAAAUGCGUAGAUAUCAGGAGGAACACCGGUGGCGAAGGCGGCCUGCUGGACUGCGACUGACGUUGAGGCCCGAAAGCGUGGGGAGCAAACAGGAUUAGAUACCCCGUA